rnacentral:lncRNA from 1 species
AUGCAUAUAGCCAAAAACUGGCAUCAGCAAGCAAGGCAGCUGAAGCACGUUCCAAAUAUUGCUCUAUUUAAAGCAUCCCAAGGCUCACAAGAACAACUGCAGAGGCAACCCUUAAAUCUUGUCAAUAAAACCAGCGGAGGGAGGAAUGGCAGAACAGGCCCCAGUCCCACUUUCCCGUCUCGUUGUACCUAUUCUCCUUGCAGUUGGCUGGAUCGUGGGUUGUGCCCUAAUGGUUUACAUCGUCUUCUCCUGACAGAAGACAGAAGAAUUUCCAAUGAUGUUGACUGGAAGAACCUGAAAGUUAAAUUGGAAUGCUGAAUGACAAAAAUACGUAUAAAAUGAGUUAUGUUUAAUAUCAACACUAGAUAUGGUGUAUAAUUUUUAUCUGCAACAAAGGUGUGAAAUGCUAGUCAGGAAGAAUCAUUAAAGCAAUUUCCUGAUUUUCAAAUGGUUUGUAACUGAGUGAGUGGUUUUUGGAGUCCAGUGGUAGGUCAGAUACCUGCCUGCUCUCUGUCCUGCUUUGUUGUUGCCAUCUUGAAUUUAAGCAUUUUUGGAAACAGCAUUCCUAGAGUUACU